AUUGAACGCUGGCGGCAUGCCUUACACAUGCAAGUCGAACGGCAGCACGGGAGCAAUCCUGGUGGCGAGUGGCGAACGGGUGAGUAAAGUAUCGGAACGUGCCCAGUCGUGGGGGAUAACGUAGCGAAAGUUACGCUAAUACCGCAUACGAUCUAUGGAUGAAAGCGGGGGAUCGCAAGACCUCGCGCGAUUGGAGCGGCCGAUAUCAGAUUAGGUAGUUGGUGGGGUAAAGGCUCACCAAGCCGACGAUCUGUAGCUGGUCUGAGAGGACGACCAGCUACACUGGGACUGAGACACGGCCCAGACUCAUACGGGAGGCAGCAGUGGGGAAUUUUGGACAAUGGGCGAAAGCCUGAUCCAGCCAUGCCGCGUGAAGGAUGAAGGCCUUCGGGUUGUAAACUGCUUUUGUACGGAACGAAAAGGUUUGGCCUAAUAAGCUGAGCUCAUGACGGUACCGUAAGAAUAAGCACCGGCUAACUACGUGCCAGCCGCCGCCGUAA
rnacentral:rRNA from 1 species